CCCCUCUCUGCAACUCCACUGCCUCCGCCAUACUCCACUGCCUCCGCCUCAACCACCACCACGCUCCUUCUACGAGCCAUCAUGGCUAUUGUCAAUCAAAACCCGUCUUUCCCAUACCUCUCUAGACACCUAUUCAGUCAAUUUCAAUCCUUUUUAUUCACUAAAACCCUAGGUUUGAAUGGUAGAAUAGGUGAAGUUGGAGAAUCUAUAUUAGAGCAGCAGUUGGACGAAGAGAGGAAGUAGCAACAUGGGUCGAGUGAUUGAGUGGUUAUCAGAGAAGUAGGUGCUGCUGGUGCUGGUGCUGCUGUUGCUGCUGUUGAGCCAAAGAGCAAGUUGUGGUGCUGCUGGUCUGUGAAGUGGAGUUACAUUGGACUAGCCAAGUACCUAUGGAGCUGCAUUGAGUGCCAAGGAACUGCAGAGGAAGUAGUUGUGGUGCUUCACUGUUGUGCAAACCCAACUGGGUUGUUGCAUUUGUUGUGGUGCUUCACUGAAAGCAAAAGAAAAGGAGCAGGAAGAACAAAAGAGCUAAGGAAGCAGUUCUGUUGCUGCACUGGUUUGGCCAAGACCCAGCUGGGCUGUGCAUUUGCUGAGAAAGAGGGCUAAAAGCCUAAACUAGGCUUAACUUUCAACCCAACAGUAAGCCUAACCCCAAUUUCCUUAACAUUUCUGAACUGUGGGCUUGAAUUUUGUUUCAAAAGGAUUGAAGUGUGUUUAAGUAAAUUGUGGGAUGUGUUCCCAAACCAAACUAAGCCUUUUGAGUUUUGUUUUGACCCACCUGGGCCUUGAAUAAUUUUUAGAAUUGUGGGCUUAAACCCAAACUCAAAAACUGAACUCUGUUAAUUCUUUGGGCUUUGCUUCAAAA